rnacentral:siRNA from 1 species
ACAAUAAGUCCCCUACCGGGUGGA